rnacentral:rRNA from 1 species
GGGGAAUUUUGGACAAUGGGGGCAACCCUGAUCCAGCAAUGCCGCGUGUGUGGAGAAGGCCUUCGGGUUGUAAAGCACUUUUGUCCGGAAAGAAAUCCCUUGCUCUAAUACGGCGGGGGGAUGACGGUACCGGAAGAAUAAGCACCGGCUAACUACGUGCCAGCAGCCGCGGUAAUACGUAGGGUGCGAGCGUUAAUCGGAAUUACUGGGCGUAAAGCGUGCGCAGGCGGGUUUGGUAAGACAGGCGUGAAAUCCCCGAGCUCAACUUGGGAAUGGCGCUUGUGACUGCAAGGCUAGAGUAUGUCAGAGGGGGGUAGAAUUCCACGUGUAGCAGUGAAAUGCGUAGAGAUGUGGAGGAAUACCGAUGGCGAAGGCAGCCCCCUGGGACGUCACUGACGCUCAUGCACGAAAGCGUGGGGAGCAAAC